CAGUUGUGAAUUCAUUAUAAUGUGCCUGUAUAAACUCGUAUACCUUACCUUAUUGAGACAAAACUGAGUUAAUUUUGUAUUACUAGAAUGGAUGUGGAAUGUUCAUGAAGAGCGCGCAAAUAAAUCGCUUUGAUUGAUUCAUCGGAUCUUGAACAAAUCAAGCCUACAAUCCGGAUGUUUGAUGCUGGCUCUGGCAGACAAUAACUUUCCAUGGGUUUUACAGAGAGAGGACAGGAGACCCUCUCCGUCAGCAACACCAAGAUCACGACCAGGAGAAGAACACGUUCAGCUGAGACCUUAGUAAUUGUUAACGUGUGUAAACUCUGGAAGAAAAGAAAGCAGGAUGAAUUAUGGCUCCAGGAAGUGUGAUGGAAGAGUUUGUGAAACAUUCGGUCGGUCCU
ensembl:lncRNA